CCUAGACUCACUGAAACAGAGCUUGCAUUUUAACAGGAUCCUCAAGUGAUUCCUAUACACAACAAAGCCCGAGAGGUACUGCUUUAGAAUUUAUAUUAUGCCAUCUUGGCAACUUGGUGAACUCCUAUUCAUUCUUCAAAGCCCAGAUCUAAAGGUCAUUUCACAGGUUGCAAACAUCAUUGCACAAUGACUCUAUUUGAAAUUCAGAAGAUAGUGGAGUCAAGCUGUUUCCUCUUCUACAUGAAUCUGAGGACCAGCUUGGGUAGUUCCAUGAACAGUCCGGCCUGUUAAAAUGAUGAUAGGAAGAAGCCAGAAGACACUUUCAAGAUGCUGCCUGAAAUCUCCUUAACUAGAUCGUCCAAUUAGUUGGUAUGGGGUGACAAGUAUGCCGGAUAUCUCUUCUUUGUCCUCUAGAUCCAUUACCGUUUCUAUUGUGUUGUCUGCUUCAAGAGCUGACCUCAAUGUCUCUUGGACCUCUGACUUCAAGGCUAACGUGGUGGACUUCACUCCUGCUAGUCCUCCAUUGAUGCACUCUUCUCUUUGGUUCUCCAUACCCACACCACUGUCAGGAAUUCAGACGAGGCACAGCUUGGCUCUGCUCCAUAAGUUCUUCGAACCCCAACAGGAUGACUGGAAGCCUGAGGCUGGGAUCUUCUAAUGGCCCAUUCACUCACAUGUUCAGUGGGUGAUGCUGGCUCUUGGACUGGGCCCUCAUUGGGAUUGCCAGGCAGAGCAUCACAUAGGCCUCUCUAUGUGGCAUGGGCUUCCUUAAAAUAUGGUGGCCGGAUUCUAAGGGGAAAUGUUCCAUGAGAGAAGGAGCUAUGCAAAAGUUGUAUUGACUUUUUUAAUCUGGCUUUGAAAAUCACUCAGUGCUACUUCCAGCACACUGUACUGGUCAAGACAGUUACAAGGGUUCAAUUAGGUUCAAAGAGAGCAACACAGAUCCCCACUGUUUGAUGGAGGAGUACUACCAUGUAAGAUGCCAGGUGGGAUGAGAUAUAAUUGGUGCUGCCAUCUUUGGAAAAUACAAUCUGCCAAGAUGGGGGCUGUCAGGUGAGAUGGCCUCGGUCAGAACUCAUACUGUGCUACUUCCUAACCAUAUGACCCAGGGCUUGUAAGUCACUUGACUUCUCUGUACUGUACUUCCCUCAUAGGGUUGGUGUGAAGAUUCAGUGAGUUAUAUGAUAAGCAAUGAGGAUAGUACUUGGCACAUAUUUAGUCCUAAAAAAUGUUAGGUCUUACCAUAUAAUGUAACAGGAAGGGUGCUCUGUCCUUGCCAUUUAUUUCCAUCUUCCUAUUCUCUAGGUGAAAGGGAGUGUCUUUUAGCACAAAACAAGUUAAAUUACACCAUGAGAGAUGGCUCAUAGUGGCACAGAGAGGUGGGAGUUGUUAGUCUGCUACAUUUUCUUUCCUUAAAGAAUCUGAAACCCUUAGCCUGGUCCUUGGAGACCUACAGGAAACUGCUCACUGCAGGAAAAAUACGAUCUGCUACAGAUAACGGCUCCCAAGUUAGAUGGCCAUGCUCUGCCAGUUACUAAGUGUCUGAUGGUAGAAGCUUGCAGGAUAGAAGAAGCAACUGAGACCCCUUGAGUGGGAAGAUAGAUGAAAGGAGGAAAAAAAGAAAAAAAGGAAGAAUUCUCCCAUUUCGGAACCUAAUUUUAUAUGUCUCCAAAGGUAACAUAAUGUGUUCAUAAUGCCCGACUAAUGAGAAUGGGUUUUUAUGGACACAAAGGUUGUACUUGCAUGCUUUCUAGACAUCAUGGACAUAGGGAAGUUGCUGCUCUACCUCUCUAUUCACAGGAAAAGCCACCAAAAUAUUAACACUGGUGCAUUAAAAGUGAUUCUUGUUUUAUUUUUAAAAAAUCUUUUCCAAAUCUUCUACUAUUUCAUAAUUCAAAUAAAUACUAGGGGGAAAAUGUCCUCCUGAUACACAGCAGCUGUGCUUGCACAUCACUAAUGCCUCUUAGUAUCAGUUACCAACACACGGACAUCAGCAUUUCAAUGGAAAGAAAUGGGCCAAAUCAUCCUCUGCAGCUUCCUUUUCUUAAGAGAGAGAAGAAUUUGACAAGUUUCUUCUGAACCUAAUUCUGCAGAAUCACCAAGAUGCAGUGAUUUACAGAAUGGAAAAGACGUCACUUUCAUGGCCAGAGUGGAGUGACCUUAGUGCCCCCCAAAGCCCCUCCAGUUUUUCCUGUUGACAUUUGCUGCAGAACACAAUGAAUUUUCCAGUGACCCAGCUCCCUGUGCCUUGAACAAGAUUUCAGUAGAAACCACC